rnacentral:rRNA from 1 species
GGGGUAGCAAUACCGCCGGCGACCGGCAAACGGGUGCGGAACACGUACAGAACCUUCCCCCGAGCUGGGGAUAGCCCAUGGAAACGUGGAUUAAUACCCAAUAGUAUAACCGGGUGGCAUCAUUCGGUUAUUAAAGAUUCAUCACUCGGGGAUGGCUGUGCGGCUGAUUAGCUAGUUGGUGCGGGUAACGGCCCACCAAGGCUUCNAUCAGUAACUGGUGUGAGAGCACGACCAGUCACACGGGCACUGAGACACGGGCCCGACUCCUACGGGAGGCAGCAGUAAGGAAUAUUGGUCAAUGGACGCAAGUCUGAACCAGCCAUGCCGCGUGGAGGAUGACUGCCCUCUGGGUUGUAAACUCCUUUUAUGGGGGACGAAACACAGCUUUUCUAAGCUGCUUGACGGUACCCUAUGAAUAAGCACCGGCUAACUCCGUGCCAGCAGCCGCGGUAAUACGGAGGGUGCAAGCGUUAUCCGGAUUCACUGGGUUUAAAGGGUGCGUAGGCGGGCAUGUAAGUCAGUGGUGAAAUCUUCGGGCUCAACCCGGAAACUGCCAUUGAUACUAUGUGCCUUGAAUGUCGUUGAGGUUUGCGGAAUAUGUCAUGUAGCGGUGAAAUGCUUAGAUAUGACAUAGAACACCGAUUGCGAAGGCAGCAGGCUAAACGAAAAUUGACGCUGAGGCACGAAAGCGUGGGGAUCGAACAGGAUUAGAUACCCUGGUAGUCCACGCCCUAAACGAUGGAUACUCGACAUACGCGAUACACUGUGUGUGACCGAGCGAAAGCAUUAAGUAU